UACGUAGGGGGCGAGCGUUGUCCGGAUUUAUUGGGCGUAAAGAGCUCGUAGGCGGUUUGGCAAGUCGGGUGUGAAAACUCCGGGCUCAACUCGGAGACGCCACUCGAUACUGCCAUGACUCGAGUCCGGUAGGGGAGUGCGGAAUUCCUGGUGUAGCGGUGAAAUGCGCAGAUAUCAGGAGGAACACCGGUGGCGAAGGCGGGUCUCUGGACCGAUACUGACACUGAGGAGCGAAAGCGUGGGGAGCGAACAGG
rnacentral:rRNA from 1 species